rnacentral:rRNA from 1 species
CCUACGGGAGGCAGCAGUUUCGAAUCGUUCACAAUGGGGGCAACCCUGAUGGCGCGACGCCGCGUGGGGGAUGAAGGUCUUCGGAUUGUAAACUCCUGUCAUUGGGGACUAAUGGCCAGGCUCAUACCCUGGUUUGAAUUAACCCAAAGAGGAAGCAGUGGCUAACUCUGUGCCAGCAGCCGCGGUAAUACAGAGACUGCAAGCGUUACUCGGAUUCACUGGGCGUAAAGGGAGCGCAGGCGGACUGGUGUGUCAGGCGUGAAAUCUCGGGGCUCAACCCCGAGGCUGCGCCCGAAACUACUAGUCUAGAGACUUGGAGGGGUAAGCGGAAUUCUGGUGGAGCAGUGAAAUGCGUAGAUAUCAAGAGGAACACCAAACGGCGAAAGGCAGCUUACUGGACAAGAUCUGACGCUCAGGCUCGAAAGCGUGGGGAGCAAAAGGGAUUAGAUACCCCUGUAGUCCACGCUGUAAACGGUGACGCAUUAGGUCUCGGAGCUUUCGAACGCUUCGGGGCUCAAGCUAACGCAUUAAAUGCGCCGCCUGAGGACUACGGCCGCAAGGCAAAACUCAAAGGAAUUGACGG